rnacentral:rRNA from 1 species
GACGAACCGUCCAAACGUUGUUCGGAAUCACUGGGCUUAAAGGGCGCGUAGGCGGGCUGCCAAGUCCGGGGUGAAAUCUUUCGGCUUAACCGGAAAAUAGCCUUGGAUACUGGUAGUCUCGAGGGAGGCAGGGGCCGUUGGAACUUCCGGUGGAGCGGUGAAAUGCGUUGAUAUCGGAAGGAACGCCGGUGGCGAAAGCGAACGGCUGGUCCUCUUCUGACGCUGAGGCGCGAAAGCCAGGGGAGCAAACGGG